rnacentral:rRNA from 1 species
UUAAGUUCUAAAUAAGACAAGAAUAAAUAUAAUUAAAAACUUUAAAAGAAAAUUAACUAAAAAUUUAUAAAGCUAGUAAUUUUAGCAUAUAUGCAAAAUUCUUUAGAAUUGAAACAUCUAACUAAUAAUAAAUAACGUUGAAAGUAAUGGCGAAUGAAAUCAAUAAACUUAAAAAAUUUUAAACAUCUUUUAUGUUAGUUUAAUAAAAUUUACUUGUAAAAAGAGUAUCGUAAGAGAAAUUUUAAAAUAGAUUAAAUUUAAAAAUGAAAAACAUUUUCCUUUUGUAUGAUGAGCUUACAAGAAUACAUACUAGCAAGAUGUAAAUCUAAAUGAAGAUAAAUUAGUUAGUAAAGCCCGAAACCAAGUGAUCUAAUUAUGAGCAGUGGUAAGCACGAACCAAUAACUGUUGAAAAAUUUUUGGAAGACUUGUAAUUAGCGGCGAAAAACUAAUCGAACUUGGCUAUAGCUGGUUCUCUUCGAAAAUUAUAUAAGUAAUUUUUUCUUUUAAGAAAAAUCAAAGAAUAAACGCUAAUGUUUAUUCUUAAAUGGGGAACAACCUAUCUUGAAAGACUAAGUAUUAUAUAAAAACUAAUAAUAUUAAAUUUUUGUUAAGACAAUAAGAAAAUAAGCUUGGAAACAGCUAGUUUAUUAGGAAAACGUAAUAGUUCACUUAUUAAAUAAAAUAUUUUUUAGACUAAAUAAUAAUUUUUAACUCAUUCUUCAAAAUUAAUUGGUAGAAGAGUAUAAUGAAAACAGCCUAGGGAUUUUUUCAUUAGAAAUAAUGUAAGCAUGAUUAAAAUCUUUUUAUUUCUAAGGUUUCUUACUUUAAUUUUAGUAAGGUGAUACAAGACUUCAAAAUAAAAGGGUCGUUAUUAGUUAUUCUCCAGAAAAUUUAAUAAAGAGUAUUGUACUUAACUAAAACAAGUAGAAAUAAAUAAGAUCUAAAUUGUUGUGAAGGAACUCGGCAAAAUGAAAAUCGACUGUUUACCAAAAACAUAGCCCUUAGAUUUAAUUAAAGGUGCAACCUGCCCUAUGGUUUUAAUACCUUUUUUAAGUAAAAGUAAAACUAAAACUAAAUGGCCGCGGUAACUCUGACCGUGAUAAUGUAGCGAAAUCAAUUGUCGUUUAAUUGACGACCAGUAUGAAUGGUUAAACGAAUUUUCCACUGUCUCCACAACAAACUUAAUGAAUUUAAAAUAAUAGUGAAGAUGCUAUUUAAUAAUUGUAAGACGAGAAGACCCUAUAGAGCUUAACUAUAAUCUUUAAUCACAUAACGAUAAAUUAUUUGUUAAUAUUAAAGAUUGGUAGUUUGGUUGGGGCGACCAUCUUCUAGACGUAACGAAGAUAAACAACGAUAAAUAAAAAUCAUUCAUUUAACUGUAUAAUUAAUAAAUUUAACAGAUAUUAAAAUAGGUAAAUUGACCCGUUUAUUUUUAAUAAGUAAAAUAACGAUUAAUAAAUAAAAGCUACCUUAGGGAUAACAGCGUAAUCUUAUUUAAGAGUUCUUAUCGACAAUAAGGUUUGCGACCUCGAUGUUGAAUUGCGAUAACCUGAGGGUGCAGCAGCUCUCAAAGGUUGGUCUGUUCGACCAUUAAAAUCGUACAUGAUUUGAGUUCAUUCCGCCGUAAGGCAGGAAGGUUUCUAUCUACAAUUAUUUACAAGUAAUGAUAUUUCUAGUACGAAAGGAUUGAAAUACACAUAUUAAUUAUUUGACAAUAAAGCUUGAGUGCUUCUAAAACUGAAUAUCAUUAUUAAUCCACUUCGUUAAA